rnacentral:rRNA from 1 species
AAUCGAACCCGGAGAUAGCUGGUUCUCCUCGAAAUAGCUUUAGGGCUAGCCUCAUGCAAGUCUUACGGAGGUAGAGCACUGAAUUCCUAAGGGGGCGUCAAAGCUUACCAAGGGAUAUCAAACUCCGAAUGCCGUGUAGAUGGUGCAUGGGAGUCAGACUAUCCGAGAUAAGUUGGGUAGUCAAAAGGGAAAGAGCCCAGACCUACAGCUAAGGUCCCAAAGUGUGUGUUAAGUGGAAAAGGAUGUGGGAUUUCAAAGACAACUAGGAUGUUGGCUCAGAAGCAGCCACACAUUCAAAGAGUGCGUAAUAGCUCACUAGUCGAGAGGUCCUGCGCCGAAAAUGUCCGGGGCUGAAACACACUGCCGAAGCUCAGGAAUGAUCCUAGAUCAUUGGUAGAGGAGCAUUGUAUACGGGACGAAGCAGUACCGAUAAGGAGCUGUGGACUGUAAAGAAGAGAGAAUGCCGGAAUGAGUAGCGAGAGGAAGGUGAGAAUCCUUCCGGCCGAAUAUCUAAGGUUUCCAGAGUAAAGCUGAUCUGCUCUGGGUAAGUCGGGGCCUAAGGCGAGGUCGAAAGACGUAGUCGAUGGAUAACAGGUUGAAAUUCCUGUACUAUCCUGUAACAGAACUGUGGGGACACAGGCAGAGAGCGUGAGCCGGGAAUGGAAAGACCGGUACAAGCGAGGUAGGAGUGCAUCAGGCAAAUCCGGUGCACAAUCUGAAGACGUGAUGUGGGGCGUAAAGCCGGAAGUAUGUGAGCUGGCUGCCAAGAAAAGCCGCUAUUGUUUAUGAUAUACCCGUACCGUAAACCGACACAGGUGGAUGAGGAGAGAAUCCUAAGGCCGACGGGAGAAGCAUUGUUAAGGAACUCGGCAAAAUGACUCCGUAACUUCGGGAGAAGGAGUGCCAGGGAGAGCUGGCCGCAGAGAAUUGGCCCAAGCAACUGUUUAGCAAAAACACAGGUCUAUGCAAAACCGAAAGGUGAGGUAUAUGGGCUGACGCCUGCCCGGUGCUGGAAGGUUAAGGGGAGAGGUUAGCGCAAGCGAAGCUUUGAACUUAAGCCCCAGUAAACGGCGGCCGUAACUAUAACGGUCCUAAGGUAGCGAAAUUCCUUGUCGGGUAAGUUCCGACCCGCACGAAAGGCGUAAUGAUUUGGGCACUGUCUCAACAAUGCACCCGGUGAAAUUGAAAUACCAGUGAAGAUGCUGGUUACCUGCGCCAGGACGGAAAGACCCCAUGGAGCUUUACUCCAGCUUGAUACUGGGAUUCGAUAUUGCAUGUACAGGAUAGGUGGGAGACUUUGAACUCAUGACGCCAGUCGUGAGGGAGUCACUGUUGGGAUACCACCCUUGUAGUAUUGGAUUUCUAACCAGCAGCCGUGAACCGGCUGGGGGACAAUGUCAGGUGGGGAGUUUGACUGGGGCGGUCGCCUCCGAAAGGGUAUCGGAGGCGCUCAAAGGUUCCCUCAGAAUGGUUGGAAACCAUUCGAAGAGUGCAAAGGCAGAAGGGAGCUUGACUGCGACACCGACGGGUGGAGCAGGUACGAAAGUAGGACUUAGUGAUCCGGUGGUAUAAAGUGGGAUUGCCAUCGCUCAACGGAUAAAAGCUACCCUGGGGAUAACAGGCUUAUCACUCCCAAGAGUUCACAUCGACGGAGUGGUUUGGCACCUCGAUGUCGGCUCAUCGCAUCCUGGGGCUGAAGUAGGUCCCAAGGGUUGGGCUGUUCGCCCAUUAAAGCGGUACGCGAGCUGGGUUCAGAACGUCGUGAGACAGUUCGGUCCCUAUCCGGCGUGGGCGUAGGAUAUUUGAGAGGAGCUGUCCUUAGUACGAGAGGACCGGGAUGGACUGGCCGCUGGUGUAUCUGUUGCAUACCAAGUGCAUGGCAGAGUAGCCAAGCCGGGACGGGAUAAACGCUGAAGGCAUCUAAGCGUGAAGCCCCCCUCAAGAUGAGAUAUCCCAUAACGUCAAGUUAGUAAGACCCCUUGAAGACGACGAGGUAGAUAGGGCAGAGGUGGAAGUGCAGUAAUGCAUGGAGCUGACUGUUACUAAUCGGUCGAGGGCUUAUCCAG